UUAUCAGGCAGCAUAAGAUACAUUUUCACUGUUACGCUGAUGACACUCAGCUUUACUUAUCCAUAAAUCCUGAUUAACCCAACCAGUUAGAUAGACUACAAGCAUGUCUUCAAGACAUAAAAUGUCAUAGAAAAGUCGAGGAUUUAAAAGUAUAUCAGAAAUGUUCUGGUCCGUUUAGUUAUAUUGAACUGUUAAUUUCUCCCGAACCAAAAUCAACUGAAUGAUUAAAGACCUCAGAGGACAUUACUAUAUCUGUUAAAGUUUACAGUAAUACUGUGCAUGAAAACAAACAAUAUGCAUAAACUCCAACAUACCACCACACCUGAAACCCGUUUUCUCAACCAAAUUUUGAAGCCAAUCACCACUUUAAGAUGUCGGUGCAAAAACAUCUCCUCCAUUAUCCUUGUUGACAAGAUUUGUUUUGCACUGAAACGACAGUAAAAAUACCUCAAACUGAGCCCUACACUGCAGAGCCUCAGGUAGUUUGUGAUAAAAGUCAAACUGGGCACUUUGUGAUGCUCUUUCUAAAGGAAGUAUACGAAGGUUUCACUUGCUUGGGGGAAGACCGGUCUCACAUAUUUCUUUACAAAGUUGAAUGAGAGCCAGAAACGGUGUAAUGAUUUUUGUUUCAUUCUGAGUAGAAGUAGGCGUGUGUUUCCAAGUCUUUGUAUUUAAAAAGGAGCAACUGUAAAAGAUCACAGAGCUCAGCCUCAUGUUCUCUGAAGAAUCCUUGGAGUGUAACAAAACUCACCACCCUGCAGGACGUGAACCACAAAGAGCAGAGAAGGAUCAACAAAGGAAUUAGUCAGACCCUGACUGGAAAUCCAGACAACACUUUAAGAUCAUUUGGAUCUGCAAGUUGUGUUGCCAACACCCAACCGAGGCAGAUUGACACCAAAGAAGAAUCAGCUCCGACGAUCAAGAUGUGUCUGCUACUGAUAAGAACUCUCAUCACUGUUGUGGUUUUUACACUACUACUUUUGUUACACUGGAAGAACAUUAUCACCCUGACAGAUUUACUCACAGCAAGAAAGUUUCAGAUGUAGUCAUGGCAGCAUUAGAUGAUCCUAAGAUAUCAGGAGCGCCAACAUUGACUGUCACAUCAUUUUUCAUUUUGUCAAGUUCACUGACAACAACUCUGUUGGUCAUUGUUACUGUAACACUUUGGUUACAUUGGUUCAACAUCCUCCCACUGAAACAUUUAUUCAUAUUAGCUUCAGAUUUUUACCAGUCAGUCAGUGGGACUAAAUCAGAUCUGCACUGAUUCAAAGCCAGAAGCUAAAUGAUUGGCUGAUGUUGUUAAAGGAGAAAGCCCUCUGCUUACAUCACAAACAGGCCUUUUCCUGCUUACAAAGUUCCACUAGAAGAAAAACAAAUCACCAUUAAAGGGUGCCGUGCUCAACCAGGAGGAGUGAAUGCUGCAAGUCAGUGACAUGAUGCAAUCUGCUGGGUUUCCACAAAACGUUUUUGCCAACUUGAAUAAUUUACUGAAUUUUUUGGCAUCGUUUGAUAACUAGUAUAAUCUGAAAUGUAUGUAUUUUACUUGGAAUCUGUAUGAUUUGAUUAAUUGACUUUGUAAAGUUUCUUGGGACGACAGGUGUUAUGAAUUGGCGCUAUAUAAAUAAACUGAAUUGAAUUGAAA